rnacentral:lncRNA from 1 species
CUUACAGAAACUCCUGGCAACCCGGGUUAAGGCUUACGGCUCACAGCAGAGCUUGUCUCAGCUAGUUAAAUCCAGGGUAACCGAUCUCAGAAGGAGCGAAAAGGCCAGGAUGAAAGAAUAUUGGCAAGAAUUGGAGGAGCAAGAUAAAAAAUUGCAAAAGAGGCCGAUGCUGUUUGAAAGAGUCUCCCAGGUUGUGUUUAUUGGAAUUUAGGGCCGUUACCAGCGUCCUGUUUCAGGACCUCUGGCCUCCAUGUGUGUACUCCAUCUCGUUGUGUCCUACAGUUGCCAAGACAUGCCGUUUCUGGGGCAGCUUCAUCCAGUCCACCAAGGAAGUGAUUUUGCUUAAGAUCUGAUGAGGCUCGCAGCUCAAUAAAGAACACGUCGCCAACCCUAUGAACCUCAGGUUCCUGCC